UACGGAGAAUGCAAGCGUUAUCCGGAAUGAUUGGGCGUAAAGCGUCCGCAGGUGGCUAUGUAAGUCUGCUGUUAAAGAGUCUAGCUCAACUAGAUAAGAGCAGUGGAAACUACAUGGCUAGAGUGCGUUCGGGGCAGAGGGAAUUCCUGGUGUAGCGGUGAAAUGCGUAGAGAUCAGGAAGAACACCGGUGGCGAAGGCGCUCUGCUAGGCCGCAACUGACACUGAGGGACGAAAGCUAGGGGAGCGAAUGGG
rnacentral:rRNA from 1 species